ACCCGUUGAUCCUGCGGGAGAAUGCUGCUAUGAGGAUUCGAUUAAGCCAUGCAAGUCUUCUCGUAAGAGAGGCGACAUGCUCAGUAACACGUCGUUAAUCUGCCCUAAGGUCAGGGAUACCCACGGGAAACUGUGGUUAAUACCUGAUAGAAAAUGAACACUGGGAUGUUUCAUUUUUCAAACUCGUGCCUUAGGAUGAGACGGCGGCCGAUUAGGCUGUUGGCGGUGUAACGGACCACCAAACCAUUGAUCGGUACGGGCCAUGAGAGUGGUAGCCCGGAGAGGGACACUGAGGUACUGGUCCCAGCCCUACGGGGUGCAGCAGGCGCGAAAACUUUCCAAUGCACGCAAGUGUGAGAAGGGAAUCCUCAGUGCUUAAGCAAAGCUUAAGCUUUUGUUAUAUGUAAAUAGUAUGACGAAUAAGUGGUGGGCAAGACUGGUGCCAGCCGCCGCGGUAACCCCAGCGCCACAAGUGGCAUUCACGUUUAUUGGGCCUAAAGCGUCCGUAGCAGGUUUUGUAAAUUCUUUGUGAAAUUGCCAGGCUUAACUUGGCAGAGUGCAGAGGACACUGCAAGACUUGGGACAGGGAAGGGUCAGAGGUAUUCCUGAGGGAGCGGUAAAAUGCUAUAAUCUCAGGAGGACCACCGGUGGCGAAGGCGUCUGACUAGAACGGAUCCGACUGUGAGGGACGAAAGCCAGGGGAUCAAAACGGAUUAGAUACCCGAGUAGUCCUGGCCGUAAACGCUGUGAGCAAGGUGUCGCGUAUUCCACGUGAAUGCGCGGUGUCGAAAGGAAGCUAAUAAGCUCACCGCCUGGGAAUUACGGUCGCAAGACUGAAACUUUAAGGAAUUGGCGGGGGCGCACCACAAGGGGUGCGGCGUGCGGUUUAAUCUAACUCAACGCAGAACACCUUACUAGGGGCGACGGCAGGUUGAAGGUCAUGCUGAAGACAUUACCUGACGAGCCGAGAGGUGGUGCAUGGCCGUCGCCAGCUCGUGCUAUGAAGUGUCCAGUUAAGUCUGGCAACGAGCGAGACCUGUACUUGUAAUUGCUAACGGCGAUUCGUCGGACCGAGCACAUUACAGGGACUGCCUUGGUAACAAGGAGGAAGGUGCAGGCUACGGUAGGUCUGUAUGCCCCGAAUCCCCUAGGCUACACGCGCGCAACAAUGGUAUGGACAAUGGGAUGCAACAUCGAAAGGUGAAGCUAAACCUCUAAACCAUACCCUAGUAUAGAUUGAGGGUUGCAACCCACCCUCAUGACAUCGGAAUCCCUAGUAAUCAGGUUUCAUCAUAGCCUGGUGAAUAUGCCCCUGCGCCUUGCACACACCGCCCGUCAAACCAACCGAGCAGGGUUUAGGUAAAACGCAGCUUAUUGGUUGUAGUGAAUCUAGGCUCAGUGAGGUGGGUUGAGUCGUCACAAGGUA
rnacentral:rRNA from 1 species